rnacentral:rRNA from 1 species
GGGGGGGGCAAGCGUUGUUCGGAAUUACUGGGCGUAAAGGGCGCGUAGGCGGCCCAGAAAGUCUCUUGUGAAAUCCCACGGCUCAACUGUGGAACUGCAGGGGAAACUACUGGGCUUGAGUCCGGGAGAGGGUAGCGGAAUUCCCAGUGUAGCGGUGAAAUGCGUAGAUAUUGGGAGGAACACCGGUGGCGAAGGCGGCUACCUGGACCGGUACUGACGCUGAGGCGCGAAAGCUAGGGGAGCAAACGGGAUUAGAUACCCGGUAGUCCUAGCUGUAAACGUUGAGCACUUGGUGUAGCGGGUAUCGACCCCCUGCUGUGCCGUAGCUAACGCAUUAAGUGCUCCGCCUGGGGAGUACGGUCGCAAGGCUG